rnacentral:rRNA from 1 species
GACGGUGACCCAGGGCUUGCCCUGGUGAUCAGUGGCGAACGGGUGAGUAACACGUGGGCAACCUGCCCCUGACUUCGGGAUAACUCCUCGAAAGAGGAGCUAAUACCGGAUACGACCACUUCGGACAUCCGAUGGUGGUGGAAAGUUCUUCGGUCAGGGAUGGGCCCGCGGCCUAUCAGCUAGUUGGUGGGGUAAUGGGCCUACCAAGGCGACGACGGGUAGCCGGCCUGAGAGGGCGACCGGCCACACUGGGACUGAGACACGGCCCAGACUCCUACGGGAGGCAGCAGUGGGGAAUAUUGCGCAAUGGGCGAAAGCCUGACGCAGCGACGCCGCGUGAGGGAUGAAGGCCUUCGGGUUGUAAACCUCUUUCAGCAGGGACGAAGCGAAAGUGACGGUACCUGCAGAAGAAGCACCGGCUAACUACGUG